rnacentral:tRNA from 1 species
UUGGGUAUAGCUCAGUGGAAGAGCACAUGCUUAGAAUGCACAAGAUCCUGGGUUCAAUCCCAAGUACCUUAA